AGAGUUUGAUCCUGGCUCAGAUUGAACGCUAGCGGCAUGCUUAACACAUGCAAGUCGAACGGCAGCGCGAGGAGCUUGCUCCUUGGCGGCGAGUGGCGGACGGGUGAGUAAUGCAUAGGAAUCUACCUUAUAGAGGGGGAUAACUCGGGGAAACUCGGGCUAAUACCGCAUAACCUCUUAGGAGCAAAGUGGGGGAUCUUCGGACCUCGCGCUAUAAGAUGAGCCUAUGUCGGAUUAGCUUGUUGGUGGGGUAAUGGCCUACCAAGGCGACGAUCCGUAGCUGGUCUUAGAGGACGAUCAGCCACACUGGGACUGAGACACGGCCCAGACUCCUACGGGAGGCAGCAGUGGGGAAUCUUGGACAAUGGGGGAAACCCUGAUCCAGCAAUGCCGCGUGUGUGAAGAAGGCCUUCGGGUUGUAAAGCACUUUCAGUGGGGAAGAAUUUCUUACAGCGAAUAACUUUAAGAAUUGCCGUUACUCACAGAAGAAGCACUGGCUAACUCUGUGCCAGCAGCCGCGGUAAUACAGAGAGUGCAAGCGUUAAUCGGAAUCACUGGGCGUAAAGCGCGCGUAGGUGGAUGCCCUAAGUCGGGAUGUGAAAGCCCGGGCCUUAACCUGGGAACUGCAUUCGAUACUGGGUUG
rnacentral:rRNA from 1 species